CUGACGCUGAGAUGCGAAAGCGUAGGGAGCAAACAGGAUUAGAUACCCUGGUAGUCCACGCAGUAAACGAUGAAUGUUAGUCGUUGGUGUCCUAGAGACAUCAGUGAUGCAGUUAACACAUUAAACAUUCCGCCUGGGGAGUACGGUCGCAAGAUUAAAACUCAAAGGAAUAGACGGGGACCCGCACAAGUGGUGGAGCAUGUGGUUUAAUUCGAAGAUACGCGAAGAACCUUACCUAGCCUUGACAUAUUUUAGAACUCAGCAGAGAUGUAGAGGUGCCUUUGGGAGCUAAUAUACAGGUGCUGCACGGCUGUCGUCAGCUCGUGUCGUGAGAUGUUGGGUUAAGUCCCGCAACGAGCGCAACCCUCGUCACUAGUUACUAACGAUUCGGUCGAGGACUCUAGUGAGACUGCCUUCGUAAGGAGGAGGAAGGUGGGGACGACGUCAAGUCAUCAUGGCCCUUACGGCUAGGGCAACACACGUGCUACAAUGGUUAGGACAAUGAGAGGCGAUACCGCGAGGUGGAGCAAAUCUAUAAACCUAAUCUCAGUUCGGAUUGUAGUCUGCAACUCGACUACAUGAAGCUGGAAUCACUAGUAAUCGUAGAUCAGCUAUGCUACGGUGAAUACGUUCCCGGGUCUUGUACUCACCGCCCGUCACACCAUGGGAGUUGAUUUCACCCGAAGCGGGGAAGCUAAACUGGCUACCCUCCACGGUGGAAUUAGCGACUGGGGUGAAGUCGUAACAAGGUA
rnacentral:rRNA from 1 species